rnacentral:rRNA from 1 species
UACGUAGGGUGCGAGCGUUAAUCGGAAUUACUGGGCGUAAAGCGUGCGCAGGCGGUGAUGUAAGACAGAUGUGAAAUCCCCGGGCUCAACCUGGGAACUGCAUUUGUGACUGCAUCGCUGGAGUGCGGCAGAGGGGGAUGGAAUUCCGCGUGUAGCAGUGAAAUGCGUAGAUAUGCGGAGGAACACCGAUGGCGAAGGCAAUCCCCUGGGCCUGCACUGACGCUCAUGCACGAAAGCGUG